rnacentral:rRNA from 1 species
AUUGAACGCUGGCGGCAUGCCUUACACAUGCAAGUCGAACGGUAACGGGCCUUCGGGUGCCGACGAGUGGCGAACGGGUGAGUAAUGUAUCGGAACGUACCUUUCAGUGGGGGAUAACGUAGCGAAAGGUACGCUAAUACCGCAUAUUCUGUGAGCAGGAAAGCAGGGGAUCGCCAGACCUUGCGCUGAUUGAGCGGCCGAUAUCAGAUUAGCUAGUUGGUGAGGUAAAGGCUCACCAAGGCGACGAUCUGUAGCGGGUCUGAGAGGAUGAUCCGCCACACUGGAACUGAGACACGGUCCAGACUCCUACGGGAGGCAGCAGUGGGGAAUUUUGGACAAUGGGGGCAACCCUGAUCCAGCCAUGCCGCGUGAGUGAAGAAGGCCUUCGGGUUGUAAAGCUCUUUCGGCCGGGAAGAAAUCGUAUCAGCUAAUACCUGGUGCGGAUGACGGUACCGGCAUAAGAAGCACCGGCUAACUACGUGCCAGCCGCCGCAGUAAAAC